ACUGUCGGAUGACGAGCUGAUCUCCUACAUCGUCAAUGCCCUCGACAUGGAGUAUCAGCCUCUUGUGUCCGCCCUCGACGCACACACCAUUCCUGUCACCCUUGACGAGUUGUUUGCUCAGAUGAGCAACUUCGAUC
rfam:Hordeum vulgare subsp. vulgare, WGS project CAJW01000000 data, contig: morex_contig_159260